rnacentral:rRNA from 1 species
AUUGAACGCUGGCGGCAGGCCUAACACAUGCAAGUCGAGCGAGCGGCGGACGGGUGAGUAAUGUCUGGGAAACUGCCUGAUGGAGGGGGAUAACUACUGGAAACGGUAGCUAAUACCGCAUACCAUCAGAUGUGCCCAGAUGGGAUUAGCUGGAAGGUGGGGUAAUGGCUCACCUAGGCGACGAUCCCUAGCUGGUCUGAGAGGAUGACCAGCCACACUGGACCUGUGACCGGGUCCAGCCUCCUACGGUAGUCAUCAGUGGGGAAUAUUGCACAAUGGGCGCCAGCCUGAUGCAGCCAUGCCGCGUGUGUGAAUAAGGCCUUCGGGUUGUAAAGCACUUUCAGCGAGGAGGCGUUACCCGCAGAAGAAGCACCGGCUAACUCCGGGCGAGCAGCCGCGGUAAUUC